GACGAACGCUGGCGGCGUGCUUAACACAUGCAAGUCGAACGGAAAGGCCCUGCUUUUGUGGGGUGCUCGAGUGGCGAACGGGUGAGUAACACGUGAGUAACCUGCCCUUGACUUUGGGAUAACUUCAGGAAACUGGGGCUAAUACCGGAUAGGAGCUCCUGCUGCAUGGUGGGGGUUGGAAAGUUUCGGCGGUUGGGGAUGGACUCGCGGCUUAUCAGCUUGUUGGUGGGGUAGUGGCUUACCAAGGCUUUGACGGGUAGCCGGCCUGAGAGGGUGACCGGGCCAAAUGGGGAAGGGAUUAGGGCCCGGAUCCCUCGGGGGGGAAGAAGGGGGGAUUAUGGAAAAAGGGGGGGAAGCCGGAGGCAGAAACGCCGGGGGGGGGAGGAGGGCCUUGGGGUGGAAAACCGGUUGGGCCGGGGACGAAGGGGGGGGGAGGGUAAGGGGUAAAGAAAAAACGGCAAACAACGG
rnacentral:rRNA from 1 species